AGAAACGCGUUUUUCCCCGCCACUGCAUUUGAGGAAUGGAAAAAUAAACCAAAAUCGUUCAUCGGGCCUGAGAAACCUUGAGAAGCAUAUUACCCUACGGUUGUUUUUUCAUCGAAAAGUUGAAGGAUUUCUGACAUCUCAAUUAGUAACGCAUCUGGAAUGUUUGCUCUCCAGAUGUACCCACCAAAAGCCUUGCUUGCAGCCACCUCCACGUCUCUCAACCUGCCUGAGUGCAGGGCUUAUGUUACAAGGAAUUCUCAAAGCUGUGUUAUCAAAGCUGUGAAAUCAAAGUCUCUACCCCUCUGAAGUUUACCCGGAUGGCCUGACUCAUCCCAGAAGUGGUGGAGUCUACGUCCCCUCUCCUGGAGACUGAGUGGAGCUUUGUGACUGCUGCAGCCAUUGGAGUAUGGCAGAAGUGCUGUUAUGUCACUUAUGAGAUUGGAUCAUAAAAAUGCCACACACUUCCUUCCUCUCUUGGAAUGCUGAGGCCAUGUUGUGAGGAAGUCCAAUGAGCCCCUGUGGAGAGACCAUAUAGAAUGACUACUUUGAGAUGUUCCAGCUUACAGCCCUGCUCGGCCCUAGCCAACAGCCAGCAUCUUUCACCAGACAUAUGAGUGACGACCCUCCAGAUGAUUCCAGCUUCCAGCCAGUGAAUCACAUCUAGCUUUCAAGUCUUCCCAGCCGAGGCCCCAAGCAUUGUGAAGCAGAGCUCAGAAUGACCUCAUGUCUUUCUACCUGAAGCCUGCUAUACCAUUUGUUGCACACAACUUCUACAAUCUCUAUGGACUUUAUACAAUGUACUUAAUAAUGAAAAGCACUGAAGAGAGAGGAAGAAACAGGGAAAAGGGAGACCAAGUCAUAUCAGGAUUUGAAUUUGAAAAUCAUCCAGGAAAUCAGAUGAUGCCUGGAAGUGUAUUAACUAUCCUGAGCUGACAACAUGCCGACCCACUAAUGGAAAAUUGUGACUAACACACCUGCCAGGUUACUAGAUUUUUCCCUUCAUAGAUAUUUUCUUGGUGCAUGUUUGAAUGAAUGGAUGAUUAAUUGAUAAGAUUUUAAAAGAGUUCGGUUGACACCAAUCAUAACUGGAAGCAAAAGAGAUUCAUCUGAGUUCUUUCAAAUUAUGCUUGCCUGACACCUUCUCCACUUCAACUUGUUGAAAGGCCCAGGGUGAAUCACCUGCCUGCACAAUAUAACAAAGGGAACAGCACAUGCACCCAUGGGCCUCUGCUAAUCUCUGGGCUGACCUCUGUUAGCCCCAUGGUUAUUCUGGUCUAGACAGGCUUAUGCUGAGAAAUACUUUACAUUUUCUGAAGACAAGUGUUAUGUAAUUCUGGUGCUUAGAGAAUACUUAAAUGAUUCUUCCAAAUUGUGCUCCUAAUUUCUGAAUGUCA
rnacentral:lncRNA from 10 species